rnacentral:rRNA from 1 species
CAGUAGGGAGGAAGGUAGUGUAGUUAACACCUGCACUUAUUUGACGUUACCUACAGAAGAAGCACCGGCUAACUCCGUGCCAGCAGCCGCCGGUAAUACGGAGGGUGCGAGCGUUAAAUCGGAAUUACUGGGCGUAAAGCGCAUGCAGGUCGGCCUGUUAAGUCAGAUGUGAAAGCCCGGGGCUUAACCUCGGAAUUGCAUUUGAAACUGGCAGGCUAGAGUCUUGUAGAGGGGGUAGAAUUUCAGGUGUAGCGGUGAAAAUGCGUAGAGAUCUGAAGGAAUACCAGUGGCGAAGGCGGCCCCCUGGACAAAGACUGACGCUCAGAUGCGAAAGCGUGGGGAGCAAACAGGAUUAGAUACCCCUGGUAG